UUGAGGAAUAGGGUCAGAAAGUUUAAGCCAAAGCACUUGACCAAACGUACUGCUGCUGAGAGGAAUGGAAAAGAACGAAGGGUUGAUUUACGGAAAGCUGGAUGAUGAAUCUCAUUAAGAGGAAGAGAGCAGGCACUAUUCGAUGGCUUCCACUGUGCGCGCCUGGACUUGUUGCAUUCAGUCAGUCCUUUAUGUCUUUCAAGUCCGUUUCCCUACCAUGUCUCUGGAGGAUGGUUGUGCACCACGUGGAUGAUCCUGCCAGGAGGGAAGAGGGGUGUGGAGGCUGAUAGGGCAAUGCUGAGGUCACUGGGAUGUAGCCACAGGCGACUGCUGGGGGGUGCUGCCGGCUGAGACUGAGGAUCAUCAUCCUCUAGUGGAAGUUCUGACUUUGGAAUGCAUUUCGUGCCUCCCGCAAUGAUCCUCCACUGUGAAGAAAAAAAUGUAUUGUUGUUAUGUAACUUAAACAUUUGAAUCUAAAUUUAUCUUCUGUAUAUUGUAAGUUUUUCCUGCAAUGGUCAGUCAGGGUUUCACUACAUGAUGUGUUCAUUACAGCAAAGAUGACUGGUGUUGGGAGAGGUUGUGAGUAAAACUGCCGUUUAUUUUAUCAACGCAAAACAAAGAGCUGCUGUUUUGGAUGGAUACAAAUGCAAAUAUGGUUUGAAUGUGAUUACUAUUUAAUGAUUCAUUAAUAUUUGAACAGCAGGGCUGUGUUUUUUGUCAACAGUCGAUAAAACACACAGCAGGUUGCUGGCAACACACCAUCAAAUGUUUUUUUUCCUCCUUUAAUAGUACAAAUGGUGUACAGAUCUGUCUGUCAUCUUCUGUAGUAGCAUGAGUUUAAGUCACCUUUGGCUUGUUACUUUUUUGUAAGACUUCCAGAAGGUGGCGUCGGAAACCCUCCAGUUGUGACAGGCCCAGCCUAGGAGAGACCAAAAGCUGCUGUGAUAAGACUGUAGAAAAAUGAAAUUAACCUCGGCAUACUAAAUACUAUAGAAGAGAUACCUUGGCACCAGGUCUUUUCCUAAUACCACGGAUGUGACGAACUCUUUGGAGUACUCCAUGGCAUCCUCACUGGGUAGAUACAAAAAAAUUAUGUAAACCAUAAACGCAGAGAGUAACAAUGUAAACCAUGUCUGCGAUCAUUUCUAACUUUAAUUUCAAACAAACAUACAGCAGCUUUUUGCAAAUAAUAGCACACACACUGAUCACUAUCCUACAGUAAAUGCUGGAUGAAUAUAUUUAUAUGACCACAUCUACACAAAGGUUUUCCAACUUGAGCACAUUCAUUCUUUUGAUUGAUAGCAGUAGUGACAGUAAAGACAGAACAGAUAAUAUACAGAGAAACAGAAAAAGUGGACACAACCUUCCUGUUUCCUGAUGUGUCAUUCAGUAUUUAAACACACAAAUCCAACAGCUACUCCAUUUCUCAAUUAAAUUUGCAUGUGACCAGCUCACCAAAAAAUGUGAGCGUGAUCUCAAAGAUUUUAAAAAGGACAUGACCAACGGUGCCUGGAAAAGGGAGUUAAGCAUUGCUGCUUUUGGAAUAGGGCGAAUAACACAGGUGUAUAAUGAAUGUACUCAUCAAAGCAUUUUUUAUGUUGGUAAUUAGUCUUGAUGGUGUAUACUGGAGAUUUUGAGGAGCCUAUAGAACAUGAGGAAACAGCACCAUGCAGGAGAGUUUGGUAACAAAAAAACAUCCAACUUGUUUUUUAUACUGUACAACCAUUAAUGACAGGAAAAGGGCGGCUUGGUCUGAUGAAUAGAAUUUGCAGCUGUACAGCACAGUCGGCAUGUGGCUUAAACGAAACUGCAGGAGCAACCAUGCAAUGCUACAUCUGUACAGUCAAUUAAGGGGAAUGUAAUGGCUAAUUAGAAGCAUUCAUACACUAUUCAGUUGUGUCAUUAAUGCAGGAAGGUUAAAGUUUACAUUUAUUUGUUCCAGUCAGUAUGUAUUCUGAGAAAAAAUUGAGAAGACCCUCUGCAUACUGCUGAAACAUUUACUCAAUUACAAUGCUUAUUUUAUAUAUAUAUACAGACAGACAGACAGACAUUGAAGGUCAGAUAUGUCAACAGUAAGUGAAACAGUGUGGGGGAGAUCUUCCUGUUGUUUUCAAGUCACACAUUUCUCCUACACACCUGUCAGUCAUUCAAGAGAGCAGGAUGUUUUCUGAAAAAGGAGCUUGUGGGUGCCCAUAAGGGAAUGGUAGUUUUUAUAAGAAUAUUGUGUCUUGUCAUAUAGAACUUGUUGGAACAUUCACAUAAAGGAUGCUACUUGUUAGUGGUCUCUGAGUCAUCCACUGCUGUAGGUUAGAGACAUUAAUUUAAAAUAAACAGUAAUAUUUGUAAAACAGAUGAACUUUCAGCAUAUUAUAAACGUAUACUCUAUAACUAAUGCUAAUAAUCUUUUCUUUAUUUUUUUCACCCAUCUUGUAUCUUCUGACCAAAGUAUAACAAUUACCUUAUCAAGGCUUUGUUGAAAUAUCAAAGGUGCACUGCAGCAUAUAGUCACCUCUUGGUGCAAACUCUCUCUCAGCAUAAUUUGCAUAACUAACACGGCUAACACUGCAUCAUGCUGUAUGGCAGGGAGAUGGACGAUGUUCAAGCGCAGGCAGAAAAAAAUGCUGGUACACUGUGAACACUGUGAAUCACUAGAUUAAAAAUAAACUUUAUUGUUCAGGUAAAUUAACACCUUGUUUGUUCAUGAACAUACAAUGCGAACUAAGUGUGUGAUAGACACUGAUAGGAGAAUAUAUAAUAAAUGUUUUCUGACAAAAAAAAUGUGUUUGUAGCAAAUUCAAAUAAAUACAGUUGGCUCUGUGUCCCUGA